rnacentral:rRNA from 1 species
CCCGCAGUCAAGAAUAUUAGUCAAUGCUCGAAAGAUGACUAGCUACUGAAUCAAUUAAAAUAAUAAUUGAUAACAUAAGGGAAAAUAAUGAUAUUACCUUAUUAUUAGUGUCGUCCAAAACUCGGUGCCAGAAGACUCGGUAAGGCCAGAGACAUAAACGUUAAUCGUCUUAAUCAGGCGUAAAGGGUUUGUAGGCGGCUUUAAAAUUUAUUUAUAACAAAAAAAAAAAAAAUAAUAAGUAAAAAAUAAAAGCUAGAAUCAAAUAGAGGAUAAAUGAAAGAAUGCUUARAGUAGGUCUGAUAUCCUUARAUACUAAGUARAAUAUUAAAGGCGAAAGCUUUUUUCCAUUAAUGAUUGACGCUCARAAACGAAGGUGAGGAUAGGAAAUAGGAUUAGAUACCCARAAUACCCCUCUCUGUCAACGAUGAAUGGUAGUUAUUAGUAAAAAUUUUUUAUUAAUGGCAAUGUUAACACGAUAACCAUUCCGCCUUGUGAGUACAAUUGCAAAGUUGAAAACAAAAAAAUUAGUCGUUUCGGAGCAAACGAAGUGAACAUGUUAUUUAUUCAAAAACCCGAA